CUCAUUUUUCUACUGCUCGUGGUAAGUGGCUUCGUGGUCUUUAUAGCUGUUACUCUUUUGUACUUUGUCUUUUUCUUUUAUUUUCUUUUGAGCGAUUGUGCGAACAUAGCAUAGCACGCACUAUGCCUUCUGUGUUGUAGCUGCCUGGCCAGGGCGACUGGCGGAUAAGGUCUUGUGCGUGGCCUCGAGGCUUAAAAGUAGCAGUGGGGCUUUGUGAAGGACAAAAUGGCGAUGGCGGGCCGUGUAGGUCCCCCUUCCUAUGAUGAGGACCUUUUCACAGACCUGUACUGAGCUCCGUGAGGAUAAAUAACUCUGAGGAGAUGGGCCCUGCAAGCCUCUUGCUUAGCCGUCUGUUCAGAAAAUAGCGUUUUCGAAAUGCCCUGAGUUGACCUAAUGUCUUAUUGGGCUCCUGUCUGCAGGAUUUACGCGCACGUUGGAACCGAAGAGAGCUCUGUUGUUGCAGUAAGUUCUUACGGCCAUUUCUUAAUCUCUGCUCUUUCGUUGAGUGUGUGGAAGUUGCUACGGGGAUGAUUUUACGAACUGAACUCUCUCUUUCUGAUGGAUUAGUGGAGAAAACAGAAAAUUCUGAGUAGCACUGUACUGUACGCAACAAAUGUCAGGGCCCUAUUGAUUUGUCUGAGGUGUUAGUGAAGGGUGUUAUUUUUUCAGAUGUUCAGCCCACAAGAGCUUACUGGUGAAGGAAUGGGACAAGACCCAUCUUUAUGCAAAGCCAGCGUUACAGUAAUGUUCCAGCAUCUCAUAAUCUAUCCUGGGGAAUUCAGCUGCCUCCCAGGGUGAAUACAGGUAUUCCUGAUGACAGUCUGCCUCUAUCUUACAGUAAGUUGUUUUUCGAAUUCUAUGGGCCUAUUAUCUAAUAGAUAACUUAGCCAUUUUGAUAUUUGUUACCAAAGCCUGCUUAACCCAUAAAGUUUUCUGGUUCCUCUUGUUCUCUGUAGUGAUGUUUCUAGAUAGAUGCCCACUGAUAUAUGCCCCUUUUUUCUCAGAUAGAUGCCCACUGAUCUGCCCAGGGUCAGACGAAUGCUUGUCAGUUGUAGCUUUCCAGGAUUCUGCUCCAAUGAGGAGGAAACAUCCUGCCUUACCCCUGUUUUAGCCUGGGAACCAGUAAUUGUGAACUCACCAGGGUUAACAUGAAGAGGGCAUGAGAGCUUAUUCCAUAAGGAAUUGUCUGAGACAUUUGGUUACCUUUUCUUAGUUUGUCCAUUAGCAACCGUAACUAAAAUAGUUUUGGCUGUUUGGGAUAAUUAGCUAAUUGAAUGAUUUUUUGAUUCAGGAGCAGCUUGUUGCUAUAUACCAUUGAAAAGCCUUCAGAGCUGAGAGGUUAGUUGAUAUUUUUUGUUCCUUACAGCUUAUGCCACCAAGUAGGCAGUUUCUAUGAUGAAUCAAACUAGCUCACUAUGACCGACAGUGAAAAUACAUGAACACCUGAGAAACUGGAGAACGCAGGGAGUGGGGGGUAACCAUGUCUGAGGAAUCUUUCACCCACAGCUUUGUUUUUCUCUAGGUACUACUAACCAAUAACCUGCUUGGCUCAAAGGGCCAGCACCUUCUCUCUAAAGCCCAAGAGGAGUUUGAGGAAAACUAGGUGUCUGUGUUCACUCCAGGCUGAAGUUACAGGUCUGAGCAAAUAAGGUGUAUAAAAAAUGGAAUCUGUCUUGGAGGACAUCAGAAGGUGAAUUUUCCAAGUUCUUGGACAACCUAGCUGUUGAAAAGCUUUCUGGGUUUGGGGGGUAUUUCAGAUGUACCUUAAAGUGUUAGCAGACACAGAUUAAGACACUGGGAGCCAAUGAAACAGCAGUUGAGGGUUUGCUGUGUAUCACAUUUCUGUAUUUUAUCACCCCCUUCCUGCAACAUUAUUUAUCUGGAAUCUACCUGCCCUUUUGUUUUUUAGAUACAAGGGCUUGGUUUUGUUACCCAGGCUGGUUUCAAGGCCAUAGCUUUAAGAGAUCCUCUCACCACAGAUUUCCAAAGUGCUGGGAUUGCAGGUGUGAUUCAUGGCACCCAGACUUUGCUGCCUUUCUUACAUGAUCCAGGCCCAGAACCCAAACUCAGGCACUGUAUAGAUGACCACUUUCGUAAACUACUGACCUAGCUUGUUGCCAAUUGUUGAUUGAACUUCCCAUAACUCCACUUCGUGUCUGUUCCUCUGUAUACAGCCACCUUCUGUUCCCGUCAUGAGCCUUUAGGUCUCCAUUUGCAUAUUGCAAAUACUAUGUUCCAUGUAGGUAGCUCAUUCAGGGCCUUGCUCUUCACUUCAAAAAAGGUUCCCUUGAGGACUGGCUGUCAAUUUGUGUUGCUGUGUUGGUUGUUGAUGAAAAUAAUAAAAU
rnacentral:lncRNA from 1 species